rnacentral:rRNA from 1 species
GUCGAGGGGCAGCGGGGCGGCAGGCUUGCCUGCCGUUGCCGGCGACCGGCGCACGGGUGAGUAACACGUAUGCAACCUGCCCGUGGCAGGGGGAUAAGCGGGGGAAACCCCGUCUAAUACCGCGUAACGCGGCCAUGGGGCAUCCCCGGGCCGCCAAAGGGAGCAAUCCCGGCCACGGAUGGGCAUGCGGCGCAUUAGCUAGUCGGCGGGGUAACGGCCCACCGAGGCGACGAUGCGUAGGGGUUCUGAGAGGAAGGCCCCCCACACUGGUACUGAGACACGGACCAGACUCCUACGGGAGGCAGCAGUGAGGAAUAUUGGUCAAUGGGCGCGAGCCUGAACCAGCCAAGUCGCGUGAGGGAUGACGGCCCUACGGGUUGUAAACCUCUUUUGCCGGGGAGCAACGGGCGCCACGAGUGGCGCCACUGAGAGUACCCGGAGAAAAAGCAUCGGCUAACUCCGUGCCAGCAGCCGCGGUAAUACGGAGGAUGCGAGCGUUAUCCGGAAUGAUUGGGCGUAAAGGGUGCGUAGGCGGCCUGCUAAGUCUGGAGUGAAAGGUACCGGCUCAACCGGUACAGGCUCUGGAAACUGGCGGGCUAGAGAGCAGGAGAGGGCGGUGGAACUCCAUGUGUAGCGGUAAAAUGCGUAGAUAUAUGGAAGAACACCAGUGGCGAAGGCGGCCGCCUGGCCUGUUACUGACGCUGAGGCACGAAAGCGUGGGGAGCAAAUAGGAUUAGAUACCCUGGUAGUCCACGCAGUAAACGAUGAAUACUAAUUGUGUGCUCCGAAUGAGGAGUGCGUGAUACAGCGAAAGCGUUAAGUAUUCCACCUGGGGAGUACGCCGGCAACGGUGAAACUCAAAGGAAUUGACGGGGGCC